rnacentral:rRNA from 1 species
GUGUCAGCCGCCGCGGUAAUACCAGCUCCCCGAGUGGUGGGGAUGAUUAUUGGGCCUAAAGCAUCCGUAGCCGGCUGGACAAGUCCCCUGUUAAAUCCAACGAUCCAAUCGUUGGUCUGCGGGGGAUACUGUCCGGCUUGGGGGCGGGAGAGGCCGCCGGUAUUUCCGGGGUAGGGGUGAAAUCCUAUAAUCCCGGGAGGACCACCAGUGGCGAAGGCUGUCGGCUAGAACGCGCCCGACGGUGAGGGAUGAAAGCUGGGGGAGCGAACCGGAUUAGAUACCCGGGUAGUCCCAGCUGUAAACGAUGCAGGCUAGGUGUUAGGGCGGCUACGUGCCGCUCUAGUGCCGCAGGGAAGCCGUUAAGCCUGCCGCCUGGGGAGUACGGUCGCAAGGCUGAAACUUAAAUGAAUUGACGGGG